GAUGAACGCUGGCGGCGUGCCUAAUACAUGCAAGUCGAACGGGGAGUAGCAAUACUCUUAGUGGCGAACGGGUGAGUAACGCGUUGGUACCUGCCCCGAAGCGGGGGAUAACGGACCGAAAGGUCCGCUAAUACCCCAUGUGCUCGGUAACGAGUAAAGGUGAAAACCACUUUGGGAGGGGCAUGCGUCCCAUCAGCUAGUUGGUAAGGUAACGGCUUACCAAGGCGAUGACGGGUAGGGGACCUGAGAGGGUGGCCCCCCACAAUGGAACUGAAACACGGUCCAUACACCUACGGGUAGCAGCAGUAGGGAAUAUUGGUAAUGGGCGCAAGCCUGAACCAGCAACGCCGCGUGUGCGAUGACGGCCUUCGGGUUGUAAAGCACUUUUGACGGGGAUGAGGAAGGACGGUACCGGUCGAAUCAGCCUCGGCUAACUACGUG
rnacentral:rRNA from 1 species